UGGAUGUUGAAGACUUAUUUGACACAGACGAUUAUAAUAUUUUGCUGAACUCUUUUUCAUUUUUAAGAAAUUGAGACUUUUUUUUUUUUUUUUUUAACGUAGGAACCCGCAGCCGCUACUGCAAACUACGUGAACCAAGGUAAACCGCACCUAAGCGCGACAGGCUCUGAUCCAGGAGGCAUAAUCACCAAUUCUGCUCCCUUCGGGAGUCGAACCUGUGACCAAGAGGAUACUUGUCCCCUCUUUAACCAGCUGAACCAACC
rnacentral:lncRNA from 1 species